CUUCCGUAGGGGAACCUGCGGAAGGAUCAUUACCGAGUGAAGGAUUCCUAGCGAGCCCAACCUCCCACCCGUGUUUACUGUACCUUAGUUGCUUCGGCGGGCCCGCCAUUCAUGGCCGCCGGGGGCUCUCAGCCCCGGGCCCGCGCCCGCCGGAGACACCACGAACUCUGUCUGAUCUAGUGAAGUCUGAGUUGAUUGUAUCGCAAUCAGUUAAAACUUUCAACAAUGGAUCUCUUGGUUCCGGCAUCGAUGAAGAACGCAGCGAAAUGCGAUAACUAGUGUGAAUUGCAGAAUUCCGUGAAUCAUCGAGUCUUUGAACGCACAUUGCGCCCCCUGGUAUUCCGGGGGGCAUGCCUGUCCGAGCGUCAUUGCUGCCCAUCAAGCACGGCUUGUGUGUUGGGUCGUCGUCCCCUCUCCGGGGGGGACGGGCCCCAAAGGCAGCGGCGGCACCGCGUCCGAUCCUCGAGCGUAUGGGGCUUUGUCACCCGCUCUGUAGGCCCGGCCGGCGCUUGCCGAACGCAAAUCAAUCUUUUUCCAGGUUGACCUCGGAUCAGGUAGGGAUACCCGCUGAACUUAAGCAUAUCAAUAAGCGGAGGAA
rnacentral:sRNA from 1 species